rnacentral:rRNA from 1 species
UACGUAGGGCGCAAGCGUUGUCCGGAAUUAUUGGGCGUAAAGAGCUCGUAGGCGGCUUGUCACGUCGGGUGUGAAAGACCGGGGCUUAACCCCGGUUCUGCAUUCGAUACGGGCGGGCUGGAGUUCGGUAGGGGAGACUGGAAUUCCUGGUGUAGCGGUGAAAUGCGCAGAUAUCAGGAGGAACACCGGUGGCGAAGGCGGGUCUCUGGGCCGAAACUGACGCUGAGGAGCGAAAGCGUGGGGAGCGAACAGG